rnacentral:rRNA from 1 species
AAACGAAGUGGGAAGGCUAAAACAGUCAGGAUGUUGGCUUAGAAGCAGCCAUCAUUUAAAGAAAGCGUAAUAGCUCACUGAUCGAGUCGUCCUGCGCGGAAGAUGUAACGGGGCUAAGCCAGUUACCGAAGCUGCGGAUUUGCAAUUUAUUGCAAGUGGUAGGAGAGCGUUCUGUAAGCCUGUGAAGGUGCGUUGUAAAGCGUGCUGGAGGUAUCAGAAGUGCGAAUGCUGACAUGAGUAGCGUUAAAGGGGGUGAAAAGCCCCCUCGCCGUAAGCGCAAGGUUUUCUACGCAACGUUCAUCGGCGUAGAGUGAGUCGGCCCCUAAGGCGAGGCAGAGAUGCGUAGCUGAUGGGAAACAGGUCAAUAUUCCUGUACCGAUGUGUAGUGCGAUGUGGGGACGGAGAAGGUUAGCUCAGCCAACUGUUGGACAUGUUGGUUCAAGCCUGUAGUCGUGCCUGGUAGGCAAAUCCGCCGGGCUUAGAUGAGGGGUGAUAACGAGUCUGCUUGCAGACGAAGUGAGUGAUACCCUGCUUCCAGGAAAAGCCACUAAGCUUCAGCUACACACGACCGUACCGCAAACCGACACUGGUGCGCGAGAUGAGUAUUCUAAGGCGCUUGAGAGAACUCAGGAGAAGGAACUCGGCAAAUUGACACCGUAACUUCGGAAGAAGGUGUGCCUUUAGUAUGUGAACCUGUACAAGGGGAGCAGAAUGAGGCCUCAGAGAAUCGGUGGCUGCGACUGUUUAAUAAAAACACAGCACUCUGCAAACACGAAAGUGGACGUAUAGGGUGUGACGCCUGCCCGGUGCUGGAAGAUUAAAUGAUGGGGUGCAAGCUCUUGAUUGAAGUCCCAGUAAACGGCGGCCGUAACUAUAACGGUCCUAAGGUAGCGAAAUUCCUUGUCGGGUAAGUUCCGACCUGCACGAAUGGCGUAACGAUGGCCACACUGUCUCCUCCUGAGACUCAGCGAAGUUGAAAUGUUUGUGAUGAUGCAAUCUCCCCGCGGAAAGACGGAAAGACCCCAUGAACCUUUACUGUAGCUUUGUAUUGGACUUUGAACAGAUCUGUGUAGGAUAGGUGGGAGGCUUUGAAGCCGGAACGCUAGUUUCGGUGGAGCCAACGUUGAAAUACCACCCUGGUGUGUUUGAGGUUCUAACCUAGGUCCAUUAUCUGGAUCGGGGACAGUGCAUGGUAGGCAGUUUGACUGGGGCGGUCUCCUCCCAAAGCGUAACGGAGGAGUUCGAAGGUACGCUAGUUACGGUCGGACAUCGUGACGAUAGUGCAAUGGCAUAAGCGUGCUUAACUGCGAGACUGACAAGUCGAGCAGAUACGAAAGUAGGACAUAGUGAUCCGGUGGUUCUGUAUGGAAGGGCCAUCGCUCAACGGAUAAAAGGUACUCUGGGGAUAACAGGCUGAU